rnacentral:tRNA from 1 species
GGUGCCCUUAGCUCAUUCGGCAGAGCGCUGGUCUGUGGCACCGGAGGUGGCGGGUUCGAACCCCGUAGGGCACCCCCA